AGUGAACGCUGGCGGUAGGCCUAACACAUGCAAGUCGAACGGCAGCACAGUAAGAGCUUGCUCUUACGGGUGGCGAGUGGCGGACGGGUGAGGAAUACAUCGGAAUCUACUUUUUCGUGGGGGAUAACGUAGGGAAACUUACGCUAAUACCGCAUACGACCUACGGGUGAAAGCAGGGGAUCUUCGGACCUUGCGCGAUUGAAUGAGCCGAUGUCGGAUUAGCUAGUUGGCGGGGUAAAGGCCCACCAAGGCGACGAUCCGUAGCUGGUCUGAGAGGAUGAUCAGCCACACUGGAACUGAGACACGGUCCAGACUCCUACGGGAGGCAGCAGUGGGGAAUAUUGGACAAUGGGCGCAAGCCUGAUCCAGCCAUACCGCGUGGGUGAAGAAGGCCUUCGGAUUGUAAAGCACUUUUGUUGGGAAAGAAGAGCAGCAGGUUAAUACCCCGCUGUUCUGACGGUACCCAAAGAAUAAGCACCGGCUAACUUCGUG
rnacentral:rRNA from 1 species